rnacentral:rRNA from 1 species
ACUGAUUGAUCCUGUCAGUUGCCAUAUGCUUGUCUGAAAGACUAAGCCAUGCAUGUGUAAGUGAAUCUUGCCAAAGAGAAACCGCGAAUGGCUCAUUAAAUCAGUUACUAUCUAUUAGUUGAGUAGCCGCUAUAUGAAUAACUGCGGUAACCCUGCAGCUAAUGCAUGCAGAUUGAUCGGCCUCUGGUCGUUAACUUUUACAAGAAUUCACCGAGCUAACGGGCGAAGAACCUGGGCAUUCCGGAUGAAUCCAAAGUAACUGAAAGAUCCCACAAAGUGUAAGUUUCUCCUUGGGGACGUAACUUCCGAAUUUCUGACCUAUCAACCUAUGAUGGUAGUGUAACGGACUACCAUGGUUGUGACGGGUAACGGGGAAUCAGGGUUCGAUUCCGGAGAGGGAGCCUUAGAAACGGCUACCACAUCCAAGGAAGGCAGCAGGCACGCAAAUUACCCACUCUCCGCACGAGGAGGUAGUGACGAGAAAUAAUGAUAUGAACCUUAAUGGUUUGUAAUCAGAAUGGAAAGGAUGCAAAAGCUCCUUUGAUGAACGAGUAGAGGGCAAGUCUGGUGCCAGCAGCCGCGGUAAUACCAGCCUCUACAAGCGUAUGCAAAAGUUGCUGCGUUUAAAAAGCUCAUAGUUGGAUCUGUUUGGGCGUAACGGUAACAUGGUGUUCAGUUAAAUCUGUUCACUCGUUACUCCCAUCCUUCGCAUCGAAGAAAUAGUUUGCACUUAAAUGUGACGAACUGUGGAAACGGUGUUUUCACUUUGAGAAAAUUAGAGUGUUCAAAGCAUCCUUUGGGAUUGAAUAAUAAAGCAUGGAAUAAUGGAGAAUGACCCGCGUAUUGUUUGAUGCCGGUGGCUAAUAUGCGGUAAUGAUUGAAAGGAACAGCCGGGGGCAUUUGUAUUGCUACGUUAGAGGUGAAAUUCUUGGAUCGUGGCAAGACAAACUACUGCGAAAGCAUUUGCCAAGAAUGUUUUCAUUAAUCAAGAACGAAAGUCAGAGUAUUGAAGAGGAUUAGAUACCCUCGUAAUUCUGACCAUAAACUAUACCAACUUACGAUUUGUCAAAGUCCAAUAUGACUUGACAAGAAAUUAACCGGGAAACCAAAGUUUAUUGGUUCCGGGGGAAGUAUGGUUGCAAAAUUGAAACUUAAAGGAAUUGACGGAAGGGCACCACCAGGAGUGGAGCCUGCGGCUUAAUUUGACUCAACACGGGAAAUCUCACCGGGUCCAGACAUCUUAAGGAUUGACAGGUUGAAUACCUUUCAUGAUUAUAUGGGCGGUGGUGCAUGGCCGUUCUUAGUUAGUGGAGUGAUCUGUCUGGUUAAUUCCGAUAACGAACGAGAUCUUAUCCAUCUAACUAAAAAUUGACACUAUAUGUGUCAAAAAAUUUCUUAGAGGAACUAUGUGCAAAAAAAUAGCACAAGUAAGAAAGGCUAUAACAGGUCUGUGAUGCCCUUAGAUGUUCUGGACUGCACGCGCGCUACACUGUUCACUUUAAAAUGAAAUGAUAACCUUAGCCAAAUUGGUUCGGGUAAUCACCUAAAAGUGAAGUGCGUUAAGGGGAUCGAGUGUUGUAACUUGCACUCGUGAACCAGGAAUUCCUCGUACUUAGGAGUCAACAACUCCUAGGGAUUACGUCCCUGCCCUUUGUACACACCGCCCGUCGCUACUACUGAUUGAAUGAUGAAGCAAGACUUGCGGAACUGGGUCGUCGAGACUUCGGUCUUGAUGACUUGGCCGAUAAGCGGAACAAGCUUCAUUGUUUAGAGGAAGUAAAAGUCGUAACAAGGUUUCCGUAGGGGAACCUGCGGAAG